AUGGACUGGAGAUGGUGCAUCCUCUUCUUGGUGGCACUGGCUACAGGUGUCCACGCCAAGGUCCAGCUGGUGCAGUCUGGGGCUGAGGUGAAGAAGCCUGGGGAAUCCGUGAAGGUUUCCUGCAAGGCUUCUGGAUACACCUUCACUGAAUAUGCUAUGAACUGGGUGUGACAGACCCCUGGAAAAGGACUCAAGUGGAUGGGAUGGAUUAACACAAAUACUGGGAAGCCCACGUAUGCCUCCGGCUUCUCAGAACGAUUUGUCUUCUCCAUGGACGCCUCUGUCAGCACGGCCUAUCUACAGAUCAGCAGCCUGAAGUCUGAGGACACAGCCACAUAUUACUGUGCAAGACUCACAGCGUGA